rnacentral:rRNA from 1 species
GUGCCAGCCGCCGCGGUAAUACGUAGGGGGCGAACGUUGCUCGGAAUUACUGGGCGUAAAGGGUGUGUAGGCGGGGAUGCAAGUCAGAUGUGAAAUUCCGGGGCUCAACUCCGGCGCUGCAUCUGAAACUGUGUCUCUUGAGUGCUGGAGAGGAAAGUGGAAUUCCUAGUGUAGCGGUGAAAUGCGUAGAGAUUAGGAGGAACACCAGUGGCGAAGGCGGCUUUCUGGACAGUAACUGACGCUGAGGCGCGAAAGCGUGGGGAGCAAACAGGAUUAGAUACCCUGGUAGUCCACGCCGUAAACGAUGGAUACUAGGUGUAGGAGGUAUCGACCCCUUCUGUGCCGGAGUUAACACAAUAAGUAUCCCACCUGGGGAGUACGGCCGCAAGGUUGAAACUUAAAUGAAUUGGCGGGG